AUGGGUGAUAUUUUCGGUUGAGAAUGAGGGUCACGAUGGGUGUCAACCCUGAAACGUUACCCAUUCCUUCCAGCAUUUUGUGUCAACCUAAACAGCACCUAUCCACGUGGUGGUGUGCCAGCAUGAUGGAGGAGCGGGCAAAGGCCUUGCCACAGAGCA